rnacentral:rRNA from 1 species
GGGUUGUGAGGUUAAGCGACUAAGCGUACACGGUGGAUGCCCUGGCAGUCAGAGGCGAUGAAGGACGUGCUAAUCUGCGAAAAGCGUCGGUAAGGUGAUAUGAACCGUUAUAACCGGCGAUGUCCGAAUGGGGAAACCCAGUGCAAUUCGUUGCACUAUCGUUAACUGAAUACAUAGGUUAACGAGGCGAACCGGGGGAACUGAAACAUCUAAGUACCCCGAGGAAAAGAAAUCAACCGAGAUUCCCCCAGUAGCGGCGAGCGAACGGGGAGCAGCCCAGAGUCUGAAUCAGCUUGUGUGUUAGUGGAACGGUCUGGAAAGUCCGACGGUACAGGGUGAUAGUCCCGUACACCAAAAUGCACAGGCUGUGAACUCGAAGAGUAGGGCGGGACACGUGGUAUCCUGUCUGAAUAUGGGGGGACCAUCCUCCAAGGCUAAAUACUCCUGACUGACCGAUAGUGAACCAGUACCGUGAGGGAAAGGCGAAAAGAACCCCGGCGAGGGAGUGAAAAAGAACCUGAAACCGUGUACGUACAAGCAGUGGGAGCACCUUCGGGUGUGACUGCGUACCUUUUGUAUAAUGGGUCAGCGACUUAUAUUCUGUAGCAAGGUUAACCGUAUAGGGGAGCCGCAGGGAAACCGAGUCUUAACUGGGCGUUAAGUUGCAGGGUAUAGACCCGAAACCCGGUGAUCUAGCCAUGGGCAGGUUGAAGGUUGGGUAACACUAACUGGAGGACCGAACCGACUAAUGUUGAAAAAUUAGCGGAUGACUUGUGGCUGGGGGUGAAAGGCCAAUCAAACCGGGAGAUAGCUGGUUCUCCCCGAAAGCUAUUUAGGUAGCGCCUCGUGAAUUCAUCUUCGGGGUAGAGCACUGUUUCGGCUAGGGGUCAUCCCGACUUACCAACCCGAUGCAAACUACGAAUACCGAAGAAUGUUAUCACGGGAGACACACGGCGGGUGCUAACGUCCGUCGUGAAGAGGGAAACAACCCAGACCGCCAGCUAAGGUCCCAAAGUCAUGGUUAAGUGGGAAACGAUGUGGGAAGGCACAGACAGCCAGGAUGUUGGCUUAGAAGCAGCCAUCAUUUAAAGAAAGCGUAAUAGCUCACUGGUCGAGUCGGCCUGCGCGGAAGAUGUAACGGGGCUAAACCAUGCACCGAAGCUGCGGCAGCGACACUAUGUGUUGUUGGGUAGGGGAGCGUUCUGUAAGCCUGCGAAGGUGUGCUGUGAGGCAUGCUGGAGGUAUCAGAAGUGCGAAUGCUGACAUAAGUAACGAUAAAGCGGGUGAAAAGCCCGCUCGCCGGAAGACCAAGGGUUCCUGUCCAACGUUAAUCGGGGCAGGGUGAGUCGACCCCUAAGGCGAGGCCGAAAGGCGUAGUCGAUGGGAAACAGGUUAAUAUUCCUGUACUUGGUGUUACUGCGAAGGGGGGACGGAGAAGGCUAUGUUAGCCGGGCGACGGUUGUCCCGGUUUAAGCAUGUAGGCUGGUUGUCCAGGCAAAUCCGGAUAAUCAAGGCUGAGGUGUGAUGACGAGGCACUACGGUGCUGAAGUAACAAAUGCCCUGCUUCCAGGAAAAGCCUCUAAGCAUCAGGUAACAUUAAAUCGUACCCCAAACCGACACAGGUGGUCAGGUAGAGAAUACCAAGGCGCUUGAGAGAACUCGGGUGAAGGAACUAGGCAAAAUGGUGCCGUAACUUCGGGAGAAGGCACGCUGGUGUGUAGGUGAAGUCCCUGCGGAUGGAGCUGAGACCAGUCGAAGAUACCAGCUGGCUGCAACUGUUUAUUAAAAACACAGCACUGUGCAAACACGAAAGUGGACGUAUACGGUGUGACGCCUGCCCGGUGCCGGAAGGUUAAUUGAUGGGGUUAUCCGUAAGGAGAAGCUCUUGAUCGAAGCCCCGGUAAACGGCGGCCGUAACUAUAACGGUCCUAAGGUAGCGAAAUUCCUUGUCGGGUAAGUUCCGACCUGCACGAAUGGCGUAAUGAUGGCCAGGCUGUCUCCACCCGAGACUCAGUGAAAUUGAACUCGCUGUGAAGAUGCAGUGUACCCGCGGCAAGACGGAAAGACCCCGUGAACCUUUACUAUAGCUUGACACUGAACAUUGAGCCUUGAUGUGUAGGAUAGGUGGGAGGCUUUGAAGCGUGGACGCCAGUCUGCGUGGAGCCAACCUUGAAAUACCACCCUUUAAUGUUUGAUGUUCUAACGUUGGCCCCUUACCGGGGUUGCGGACAGUGUCUGGUGGGUAGUUUGACUGGGGCGGUCUCCUCCCAAAGCGUAACGGAGGAGCACGAAGGUUAGCUAAUCCUGGUCGGACAUCAGGAGGUUAGUGCAAUGGCAUAAGCUAGCUUGACUGCGAGCGUGACGGCGCGAGCAGGUGCGAAAGCAGGUCAUAGUGAUCCGGUGGUUCUGAAUGGAAGGGCCAUCGCUCAACGGAUAAAAGGUACUCCGGGGAUAACAGGCUGAUACCGCCCAAGAGUUCAUAUCGACGGCGGUGUUUGGCACCUCGAUGUCGGCUCAUCACAUCCUGGGGCUGAAGUAGGUCCCAAGGGUAUGGCUGUUCGCCAUUUAAAGUGGUACGCGAGCUGGGUUUAGAACGUCGUGAGACAGUUCGGUCCCUAUCUGCCGUGGGCGCUGGAGAAUUGAGGGGGCUGCUCCUAGUACGAGAGGACCGGAGUGGACGCAUCACUGGUGUUCGGGUUGUCAUGCCAAUGGCACUGCCCGGUAGCUAAAUGCGGAAGAGAUAAGUGCUGAAAGCAUCUAAGCACGAAACUUGCCCCGAGAUGAGUUCUCCCUGAGACUUUAAGUCUCCUGAAGGAACGUUGAAGACGACGACGUUGAUAGGCCGGGUGUGUAAGCGCAGCGAUGCGUUGAGCUAACCGGUACUAAUGAACCGUGAGGCUUAACCUUACAACGCCGAAG